CCCCACCUGGGAGAACGUCGACUCCGGCGGCCGUUUCCACCUGCCGGACUUCCUCCGCGGGCGGUUCAACACCCUCGGGGCGGU
rnacentral:tRNA from 1 species